rnacentral:rRNA from 1 species
CCUACGGGAGGCAGCAGUGAGGAAUAUUGGUCAAUGGGCGCGAGCCUGAACCAGCCAAGUAGCGUGAAGGAUGACUGCCCUACGGGUUGUAAACUUCUUUUAUAAAGGAAUAAAGUGAGGCACGUGUGCCUUUUUGUAUGGAUUUUAUGAAUAAGGAUCGGCUAACUCCGUGCCAGCCGCCGCGGUAAUACGGAGGAUCCGAGCGUUAUCCGGGUUUAUUGGGUGUAAAGGGAGAGUAGAUGGGUUGUUAAGUCAGUUGUGAAAGUUUGCGGCGCAACCGUAAAAUUGCAAUUGAUACUGGGAGCCGUGAGUACAGUGGAGGGAGGCGGAAUUCGUGGUGUAGCGGUGAAAUGCUUAGAUAACAAGAAGAACUCCGAUUGCGAAGGCAGCCUACUAAACUGCCACUGACAUUGAUGCUCGAAAGGGUGGGUAUCAAACAGGAUUAGAUACCCCGAGUAGUC